GGAGAGGUGGCUGAGUGGUCGAAGGCACCACACUCGAAAUGUGGCGUAUGGGAAACUGUACCGAGAGUUCGAAUCUCUCCCUCUCCGCCC
rnacentral:tRNA from 1 species